UACGUAGGGGGCUAGCGUUGUCCGGAAUCAUUGGGCGUAAAGCGCGUGUAGGCGGUCCGGUAAGUCCGCUGUGAAAGUCGGGGGCUCAACCCUCGGAUGCCGGUGGAUACUGUCGGGCUUGAGUACGGAAGAGGCGAGUGGAAUUCCUGGUGUAGCGGUGAAAUGCGCAGAUAUCAGGAGGAACACCGAUGGCGAAGGCGGGUCUCUGGGCCGAUACUGACGCUGAGGAGCGAAAGCGUGGGGAGCGAACAGG
rnacentral:rRNA from 1 species